UGCGUACUUCUUGUUUCCUUGGUGGGUUCGCCCACCAUAGGGCAAACCAUAAACCUUUUGUAAUUGCAAUCAGCGUCAGAAAAAAAAAAUUAAUAAUUACAACUUUUAACAACGGAUCUCUUGGUUCUGGCAUCGAUGAAGAACGCAGCGAAAUGCGAUAAGUAGUGUGAAUUGCAGAAUUCAGUGAAUCAUCGAAUCUUUGAACGCACAUUGCGCCCUUUGGUAUUCCAAAGGGCAUGCCUGUUCGAGCGUCAUUUGUACCCUCAAGCUUUGCUUGGUGUUGGGCGUCUUGUCUCCAGUUCGCUGGAGACUCGCCUUAAAGUAAUUGGCAGCCGGCCUACUGGUUUCGGAGCGCAGCACAAGUCGCGCUCUCUUCCAGCCAAGGUCAGCAUCCACAAAGCCUUUUUUCAACUUUUGACC
rnacentral:rRNA from 1 species